UAUAUUUGAGAGUUUGAUCCUGGCUCAGGAUGAACGCUGGCGGCGUGCCUAACACAUGCAAGUCGAGCGAACCUUUCGGGGUGAGCGGCGGACGGGUGAGUAACGCGUGGGUAACCUGCCCUGUACACACGGAUAACAUACCGAAAGGUAUGCUAAUACGGGAUAACAUAUGAGAGUCGCAUGGCUUUUGUAUCAAAGCUCCGGCGGUACAGGAUGGACCCGCGUCUGAUUAGCUAGUUGGUAAGGUAACGGCUUACCAAGGCAACGAUCAGUAGCCGACCUGAGAGGGUGAUCGGCCACAUUGGAACUGAGACACGGUCCAAACUCCUACGGGAGGCAGCAGUGGGGAAUAUUGCACAAUGGGCGAAAGCCUGAUGCAGCAACGCCGCGUGAGCGAUGAAGGCCUUCGGGUCGUAA
rnacentral:rRNA from 1 species